rnacentral:rRNA from 1 species
AUACGGAGGGUGCGAGCGUUACUCGGAGUCACUGGGCGUAAAGCGUCCGUAGGCGGUCGGGUAAGUCGGGUGUGAAAGCCCCGGGCUCAACCUGGGAAGUGCACCCGAUACUGCUCGACUCGAGUGCGCGAGAGGAUGGCGGAAUUCCCGGUGUAGCGGUGAAAUGCGUAGAGAUCGGGAGGAACACCAGUGGCGAAGGCGGCCAUCUGGCCCGCAACUGACGCUGAGGGACGAAAGCGUGGGGAGCAAACAGGAUUAGAUACCCUAGUAGUCC